AUGGGCAGCAUCGAACAAACAACUGAGAUCCUGUUGUGCCUAUCACCUGUUGAAGUUGCCAGUCUUAAGGAAGGAAUCAAUUUCUUUCGCAAUAAGAGCACUGGCAAAGACUACAUCUUGUACAAGAAUAAGAGCCGACUGAGGGCAUGCAAGAAUAUGUGCAAGCACCAAGGAGGCCUGUUCAUAAAAGAUAUCGAGGAUUUAGCCGGAAGUUGUUGAAAUGGAUGAAAACAACAGACUUUUACUUUUAGAACUGAAUCCUCCUAACCCUUGGGACUUACAGCCCAGAUCUCCUGAAGAGUUGGCUUUUGGAGAAGUCCAGAUAACAUAUCUCACUCAUGCCUGCAUGGACCUCAAGUUAGGAGACAAGAGAAUGGUGUUUGACCCUUGGUUAAUCGGUCCUGCUUUUGCCCGUGGAUGGUGGUUGCUCCAUGAGCCUCCAUCUGAUUGGCUGGAGAGGCUGUGCCAGGCAGACCUCAUUUACAUCAGUCAUCUGCACUCAGACCACCUGAGUUACCCCACACUGAAAAAGCUUGCUGGGAGAAGACCAGAUAUUCCCAUUUAUGUUGGAAACACAGAAAGGCCUGUAUUUUGGAAUCUGAAUCAGAGCGGUGUCCAGUUGACUAAUAUCAAUGUCGUGCCAUUUGGAAUAUGGCAGCAGGUGGACAAAAAUCUUCGAUUCAUGAUCUUGAUGGACGGUGUUCAUCCUGAGAUGGACACUUGCAUUAUUGUGGAGUACAAAGGUCAUAAAAUACUCAAUACAGUAGACUGCACCAGACCCAAUGGGGGAAGGCUGCCUAUGAAGGUUGCUCUAAUGAUGAGUGAUUUUGCUGGAGGAGCAUCAGGCUUUCCAAUGACUUUCAGUGGUGGAAAAUUUACGGAGGAAUGGAAAGCCCAAUUCAUUAAAACAGAAAGGAAGAAGCUCCUGAACUACAAGGCUCGGCUGGUGAAGAACCUGCAACCCCGAAUUUAUUGUCCCUUUGCUGGGUAUUUUGUGGAAUCUCACCCAUCAGACAAGUACAUCAAGGAAACAAACACCAAAAAUGACCCAAAUGAACUCAACAAUCUUAUCAAGAAAAACUCUGAUGUGAUAACAUGGACCCCUCGACCGGGAGCCACCCUUGAUCUGGGAAGAAUGCUGAAGGAUCCAACAGACAGCAAGGGCAUCAUAGAGCCUCCAGAGGGGACAAAAAUUUACAAGGAUUCCUGGGAUUUUGAACCUUAUUUGGAAAUCUUGAAUGCUGCUGUAGGAGAUGAAAUAUUUCUUCACUCAUCCUGGAUAAAAGAAUACUUCACUUGGGCUGGAUUUAAAGAUUACAACCUUGUGGUCAGGAUGAUUGAGACAGAUGAGGACUUCAAUCCUUUUCCUGGAGGAUAUGACUAUUUGGUUGACUUUUUAGAUUUAUCCUUCCCAAAAGAAAGACCACAACGAGAACAUCCCUAUGAGGAAAUCCAUAGCCGGGUGGAUGUCAUCAGACACGUGGUGAAGAAUGGUCUACUCUGGGACGAGUUGUAUAUAGGAUUCCAAACACGGCUCCAGCGGGAUCCUGACAUAUACCAUCACCUGUUUUGGAAUCAUUUUCAAAUAAAACUCCCCCUCACGCCACCCAACUGGAAGUCAUUCCUGAUGUGCUGUGAGCAGAAUGGGCCUGGGAUUUUGCAAGAAUGCAAAACCACAUGA
rnacentral:sRNA from 1 species